AGGGAUGUAGCUCAGUGGUAGAGUGCUUGUCUACUAUGUGUGAGGCCCUGGGUUUCAUCCCCAGCACCACAA
rnacentral:tRNA from 1 species